UCAUGUUAUGAGAGAGCACGCCUAUAUGUGAUAUCACGAAGGGAGUUUUGGUCUCCAAUUGUUCAUAUGAUAAUAUGAUGGUAAAAAAGAGGCUGUUUUUAUUAAAAAUUUGAAGACAUUAAAAUCGAGAAAAAUUUGUUUAUCUUCGCACACGAAUAUAGCAUAUCGUAAUGAGACCAGAUGCGGAAUAGAAUUGGUUGUUAUCAACGAUAUAAAUAAAUAUGAAUAACAAUAAGUUAAGAGAUUUGUGCCGCUUCAAUUGUUAUCCAUUUUUAUAUGUAUAUAUCUUACAUCAUAUAAUAUUAUACUACAUUAUUCACAAUCUAUAAUUCAGAGGUCCCCCGAAUUUGUCACGGUAGAAGGAAAUAACGUGUUUUCUUUACUUGUUUUUUUGGUCACACGUUAAAAUAUAUAAAUACGUUUCGAUCGAGAUAAAACAAUAAAACAUACAUAGAGCGAUAAAACAUAGACAGGCAUAAGAUUAUUUAAAUCUACAUAAUGUUCGUACAUUUUUUUUUACAAUAGAAUUAUGUUUUGAACCAAAAAAAAAACGAAAAAGAAAAGGAAAGAAAAGAUUGAAUCGAAAUAUAAUUAAAUGAUAACUGAAUAAUAAUCAGUGUUAUGUACUAAUAGUACGUUGCGACGAUAUAUAUCAGAUUAUACAAUUUAAUUGCGCGUGAUAAUCAUCAUGAUGGCAUUAUCAACAACAAUACAAAUUAUAUAUAAUGGAAAAUUCCUUUCAUUUCCGCAUUCUCGGUUUUUGAUUAUAUCUUGUUUAAAAUUAGUAAUAAAAGUUCGAACAUGUAAAUGCAAUUAGUUCGUACAAUUAUUGAAAAUAAUAUUUUCUUUUAUUACUUUAAUUCUUUCAUUCAUACGAUCGGCUUGUAAUACUUAAUGUACAUUACGUCUUUACAUUCUUACGUAGAGUCUAUUUGGAAUACUUUCUACGAAUCACUUUCCAUGAAUAAUUUGUGUUUGUAUGUGUGUAUGUGUAUUAUUAUUUUUUUGGCUUUCUUUAUCUUUAUAUCUUACAUAGAGACUAAGCGAUUUAUAUUUUACAUAGAGACUAAGCGAUUGUAAAAUUAAGAUAAAAUGCGAAAGAUCACUAGAUACUAUGAUCGAUUUUAAUCUCGACGAAAUAAAAAAUAAUGAAUGUUUUUCCUCGUUAGCAGGUGUAUAAUGUAAUCGUAUACAAUUUUUUAGAGAUAUAAUAUAUAUACUUACAUACGUAUGUACAUAUGCAAUCGGAGAUAAUCUUUAAACGCAAUAUAAUUUUAAAUGAAUGAAGAGAUUUUUUGUUUAUAUUAGAUAAUUACAUCUCUCUUUCUCUCUCUCUCUCUCUUUCUCUUAUUGCUACGUAAGAACGUUCUCAAGGAUAUUUUCAUUUGGCAGUAAAGAAUUGUAUAACUUCUGUAUAUCUCUAAAUUCUUUUUUUAUUGGAUCUUUUUCCUUUUUUUUUUCUUUUUUUGCUCUUAAUUUGAAUAUUCUUCUUGUUUACGUCAUAUUUGUCUCCGAUUAAAAUUAAUAAUUCAUCUGUAUCACGAUAAUAAUAAUGAUAAUAAUAAUAAUUACGUUUAAAUAUCGUAUCCUCAUUCAUACGUAAUAUCUCUCAAAAGAUCAUAUGAUUUUAUAAUUAAGAAUUUAGCUAUAAUAAUAUUUAUUUGCGAUCAAAGUCUUUAACACCACUUACGUAACUUGAUAAGUAAUUAUGGCAGCUUUCGAUUGAGGACACUCGAACGUUCGUAAAAUAUUUUUUCCAUCUUUUUGUUUUUCUUUCCUUUUCUUUUUUCUUUUUUUCUUUUUUUCCUCCUUUUCCUUUUUGUUUCCGUUAUAGUAGUUAUUAAUUUCAGUACGAAGAGCGGAUCAAUCGAUCCCCAUAUAUUGCUUCUCUCAUAAAUCCGAGACAGUUCUCAUCUCUGUCUCUCUCACAAUGUCCCAUAUAAACGCUUAAAACAUUUUCUCCCUCUUUUUCUCUCUCUCCCCCUCUCUCUCUCUCUCUCUUUCUCUCUCUCUCUCUCUUUUUCCUUUUCUAUCUUUCUCUCUGUAUGUAUAUACACAUGAAAUCGUGAUAAUUCAAUUUGUUUUUUUUUAUAUCUGCGUUUCUUUAUAUCAUUCAAACAAAAUAAAAGAUCCAAUAUAUCGCGUUGAACAGCAUGAAACUGACAGGAAAUAUGAUUCUCGAGUAUUUGUCGAUCACGUUAACGUCUUUGAUUUUUGGCAUGGACACGCGUAAUACCGAUGCACCUCUACGGAUAGCGUGUAGUACCUAUAAAAAUUUGUCGAUCAACAAUGUACCAAUACCAAUCGAAUGUUUUUAUGUUUAUUUUGUUUCGGGCCUCUAUAUCUGAGCCCACUGUUUCUACCAUGUGUAUUAUAGGCGACUGUUCUUGAGAUACGAAAACUGGGUGGAAAUUUGACUGGAUCAUGAUGUUUUCCAAGGCCAGGUGUCGAAGAACCACUAAUUAAACCUGAUCUAUUUCUAAUGCUUGGCAAUGGCGACAUUCUUAUAUCCUGCAGCUCAAUAAUAUCAGCAUCAGUCGAACCAGGAAAAGCUCUCGAUCUCUACGGUGCAAUUCUGCGAAUCGAGAGGAUAGUAGUGCAGAUCCAUCAUGCAGGCCAAUGUCGUUGUGAAUCUCAUGCCAUAAGUGAUGGAACCGUCGCCGGAGAGUCUGACGAGUUUAUUGCGUUCAGUUACGUCGUGCAAAAAGCUGGAAAAAGAAAAAGAAUGAAAGAGAGUGAUGAUGACUUAGAAGUCAUCUGUCUACCUGUUCUUAUCGUUGGCAAAGAAAGUAUCCGGGACCCAAAUCUUUUCUGCAAAAUCACCACUCAGUGUCAAGAUUUCCUCCUCUUGCGAAAAGGCGAGUCUUUCGUCUUUCCAAUAUUGAUUUAAAUACAUUGUUAUAGUGUAAUCCUACAACAUAAUCGGUCGAAUGAAAAUGAUCAUGAUUUAUGAAGACAUUCGAUAAGAUAGUAACGCCCUUGGGCCAAAACAUAUUUGUUUAUCGAGGACAUUGCAGAUAAAAUAUAGGAAAUGCGAUGAGAAGAAAAAGAAGAGAAAGCGCAAAGACAAAGAAACAGUGUCGGGCCUAUGAUUAAUAACAUCGGAAGUCACGAGGAGAUAAAUGAUGAGGUUCAAUCUCUCUUUGCCCUUACCAAACG